GGGUCUGUGGCGCAAUGGAAAACGCGUCUGACUUCGGAUCAGAAGAUUCCAGGUUCAAAUCCUGGCAGACUCG